CUGCUCUAUUGCAGCACGAAGUAGAAAGCGGAAAUCAGCAAAGGUGGUUGUGAAGAGCAAGGAGGCAGAAGGGGAUAAACUGUACGGGAGACAGCUCUGUUGAUAGGAGAGGCGAGUGGGAAGACAGCAGCAUGCAGGUGCUUACCUCGCCUGACAUGUCGGGAGCCAGAGGAAUGAGAGGCCACAGGGACGAGUAGAUAAUGAAAAACACCACCCACAGGCCGAUGCUUCCCCAGAUGGCGAUGUGACUGAACUGUUGGUGAAGAAACAGAAAAACAAUAAGUGAGUCCGCCGAGAGCCGAAAGUCUCUGGGAGCUACUUACCAUGCUCGAAGGCUUUAAGGGGGAACCAGAAGAGAAUGACGGAGUGGAAGAGGCCGUUCAGACAAUGGGCCCAGAAGACCUGCAAAAAAGGAG